rnacentral:misc_RNA from 1 species
GAAAUGCGAUAAGUAGUGUGAAUUGCAGAAUUCAGUGAAUCAUCGAAUCUUUGAACGCACAUUGCGCCCUUUGGUAUUCCUUAGGGCAUGCCUGUUCGAGCGUCACCUAAACCUUCAAGCCCUGCUUGGUGUUGGGUGCCUGUCCCGCCUCCGCGCGCGGACUCACCUCAAAUCCAUUGGCGGCCCCCGCGUCGGCCACGAGCGCAGCAGAAACGCGAACUCGUGAGCCCGUCCGGGCGGCUCCCAGAAGCUACACCCACCCAGUUUGACCUCGGAUCAGGUAGGGAUACCCGCUGAACUUAAGC